GGCCCUUGUCAGUUGAUCUGACCUUGGGUCAGGUUUCUUAGCCGUAUUGUGUCAUCAUCUGAAUACCUUCAUGGUUUUUUCUAAGCUUUUUUCUCUUCUGCCUGUUGACCCCUUCAGACUGAUGGAACGUCUCCUCCGCUACGAAGCUUGUCUUCAGUCUCCCUGUUCUCUGGUCUUGCCUGAGUGGGGCAUCUGUUCUCCUUGUCCAUAGACUAGGGGUGUGGUGGGGCAGGGCUGUGUCUCAGAGCUGCUGGCUGUGACAGAACCUGGCCUAGAUGUGCCCUGAGCCUAACACAGGGUUCAGAGGUCUGUUAAGUCAACAGAGCAGAGAACUUUUACAGAGAGUUGAGGCUCACAGAUUUUCUGGGUGACU
rnacentral:lncRNA from 1 species